CAAAAAAUAGUUUAGUAAAAAUACCAGCUUUGGGAGUUGGCGACAGGGGAGUAUAUUCCCCUUUUUUUGA
rnacentral:tRNA from 1 species